rnacentral:rRNA from 1 species
GCCUACACGAAGUCGGAAUCGCUAGUAAUCGCGGAUCAGAAUGCUGCGGUGAAUACGUUCCCGGGUCUUGUACACACCGCCCGUCACACCAUGGGAGUUGGGAAUGCCCGAAGUCAGUGACCCAACCGCAAGGAGGGAGCUGCCGAAGGCAGGCUUGAUAACUGGGGUGAAGUCGUAACAAGGUAGC